GCUGGGCGCAGUGGUGUGCGCCUGUAAUCCCAGUUACUUGGAAGGCUGAGGCAGGAGAAUCACUUGAACCUGGGAGGCAGAGGUUGCAGUGAGCUAAGAUUGAGCCACUGUACUCAUCCUGGGUGACAGAGUGAGACUCUGUCUCAA
rnacentral:SRP_RNA from 1 species